UGAAACAUCUAAGUACCUGAAGGAAGAGAAAGAAAUUCGAUUCCGUAAGUAGCGGCGAGCGAACGCGGAUUAGCCAAAACCAAUAAAGUUUUCUUUAUUGGGGUUGCGGACAUAUCAUAACGAAGAGGUAUCGUAAUUGAAGAGGUUUGGAAAGACCCACCACAGAAGGUAAUAGUCCUGUAUGUUAAACGAGAAGACUUUA
rnacentral:rRNA from 1 species